GGCACAAACGUGAAGUAGACUAGUUUCAUAGGGUCAGACGAUCCUUCUAAUCUACUCUACUUCAAGUUUGUACCC
rnacentral:pre_miRNA from 1 species